rnacentral:rRNA from 1 species
UACGAAGGGAGCUAGCGUUGUUCGGAAUCACUGGGCGUAAAGCGCACGUAGGCGGAUGUGUAAGUCAGGGGUGAAAUCCCGGAGCUCAACUUCGGAACUGCCUUUGAUACUGCACGUCUUGAGUCCGAUAGAGGUGAGUGGAAUUCCUAGUGUAGAGGUGAAAUUCGUAGAUAUUAGGAAGAACACCGGUGGCGAAGGCGGCCCACUGGAUCGGUACUGACGCUGAGGUGCGAAAGCGUGGGGAGCAAACAGG